GGCCUCCUGUUGGUGGUUUUACUCUUUUCCCUGCAUGAUUUCCAGUUGAGCCAGUUUCUGCUGUGCACUGGAAGCGAUUGCUUUAGAGGCAGAGUGUGUGUGGUUGGGAGUGGAGGGUGCAUAGGCUUGGCAUAGGAAGGCUGUGCCCUGGAGCCAGGUUGGAGCCUUUCUGUUUACAGUAGGCAGCAGCAGGAGUCUCCAAAGGACCUGCAAGACAAAGGUAAGCUGCUUAGAGAGAAAUCUGGGAAGAGGAAAGCAGCUGCCCUUUGAUCAUGGACCUACCCACUGGUAUUCUUCAUCCACCCUGGAUUUCCCCUGCAUGCAUCUCUGUAAUUCUGUUAAUCGUUCCUGAUGCCUCUUUGACCCAGAUUCAUUGCACAAUCCAAGUAGCAGUCAGUGCCGUGGUUGUACAGUACCCACCGCAAGCGGCGGCGUCUUAUUAGUACGCUCGCAAGUGGAAACUUCAUUAGCGGGGUUGCGUCCUGAGUAAUUAACUUCCCAGGCAGCGCUUUGGAGCUGCAGUCUAGUCACGUGCUUCGCCAGCGAGCGAGGCUUGGUCAGGGCACUGCUACAGCCCAGCUGAGUCCCUGCCAGUGCUCGUAGUCACACCACCAAGUUCACCUUCCCCACUGAGGCUCAGCCUGUGAUUCCUGCGGCCGUACGCCGUCAGUGGUUCUCUCUCAGCGCCAGAGGCUGCACCCUGAUCCUUUUUGCAGUCUGGGGGACACCUUCCGUGGGGACCACGCUGAGAUGUCGUGCUCCCGGGUUGCAAUAGCAAAGCACCAGCUCACCAGGCUGGGCAUGAGGAGGAGAGGAGCAGGGAGAUGCAGCGAGCCCGCGAGAGAGCCCGCAGAACCUCCCCCAUCGCAAAAGAGGCGACGAGACACUGACACGUGCCUGACCCAUGAAUCCAGGCGGCGGGAGUCCCCUUCUGAAUGAGGCAGUUCGUACGGUCACUGCCCAGAGCCCUUGACUGGGGCAAUCACAAUAGCAAAGCGCUGGCUCAUCGUGCAGCAUUGCAGCCCGGGCAUGGGGAGGAGCAGCCGCAGGCCCCGGAAGCUGCUUGUGCUUGCGGGGCUGAGGGCUCCCGGGCCCCCUCCCUGACUGACUCUCCAGCGCCGGCGCCAAAGGGGACUGCACCAGCUGCGCUAGCUAUAAUUAGAGCGAGCAAGCUAGGAAGGUGAUAAUCCCCCUCCCACCCGCAGCCAGCAGCCCCUCGGUGCCUCCCUCGGCCGCACCAAGAAAGGAAUUCGUGUGUGUUGACUUCAGCUCUUUAUCUGGAUGGGUCACCUCGUGGUGAACCAAAUAUAGUAAACGACGGCGGCUGCUAGCGAUGCCGCUUCUUCCAAGGGGGAGAAUCCAGCAUUGCACAACCCAGGAAAGAUCAAACGCGCGGCACUCGCGCAACUGCCCUGAACCUAGUGCAGAUCGCCAGGCAAAUCUCCCAGGGUAGGGGUGGGGUGGGGAGAGUGGCACAGGUCAACCCCGUUCAGAGCCCAUGUGUUUGGAGGAAAUUUUGCUCCUGUUUGGAUUGAUUUUAAGGCUGUUUUAAAAGUCAUCUCUGCAAAGCACGGGGUGGUCUAAUGACCUGGACACAGAACUGGGAGCCAGGAAUUCCUGGCUUCUAAUCCUGGCUCUGCCGCUGACUUGCGCUAUGGUCUUCAGUAGGUCAUUCACCUCAUGGUGGGGUUGUGAGUAAGAUGAUAUACUCGUUUGUAUUUUAAGGGAUGUCCUUUAUUUUUUGCUUCAUGGCUGUAUUGUGACCUGCAAUUUAAGAAUUUCUAAGGACCAGCAAAAUAGUAUGUUUUCAAGUAGUAUUCAUACAAGGGAUUAUAUGCUGUGAUACAAAUUUAUUUAUUUAUUGUUUUGCAUAACCAAUAUAUUAUUGUGAAGUGGAUUCCUUAUAAAGGUGCUGCCCCAUAUUGAUUAUUCAGUUCUCUAUUUCCUUGAAAUGUAGGUAGUCAACUCAGUUGGGAGGAUUACUUUGGACUUGUCUAUACAGGGAGUUGUUCUUGAGUUAGGGGACAAUCAGGAACAGUAAAUCAGGAACAACUCUAAGUGUAGACAGGCCCUUUUCAUUGCUUGUCAACACUUAUAUAACGAGUGCUGUAAGUACAAUAAAUUAUUUUAUGACUACA